GGGCGUGCUAUACCUGCAAGUAGAACGCUGAAGAGAGGAGCUUGCUCUUCUUGGAUGAGUUGCGAACGGGUGAGUAACGCGUAGGUAACCUGCCUUGUAGCGGGGGAUAACUAUUGGAAACGAUAGCUAAUACCGCAUAACAAUGGAUGACACAUGUCAUUUAUUUGAAAGGGGCAAUUGCUCCACUACAAGAUGGACCUGCGUUGUAUUAGCUAGUAGGUGAGGUAAUGGCUCACCUAGGCGACGAUACAUAGCCGACCUGAGAGGGUGAUCGGCCACACUGGGACUGAGACACGGCCCAGACUCCUACGGGAGGCAGCAGUAGGGAAUCUUCGGCAAUGGGGGCAACCCUGACCGAGCAACGCCGCGUGAGUGAAGAAGGUUUUCGGAUCGUAAAGCUCUGUUGUAAGUCAAGAACGGGUGUGAGAGUGGAAAGUUCACACUGUGACGGUAGCUUACCAGAAAGGGACGGCUAACUACGUGCCAGCAGCCGCGGUAAUACGUAGGUCCCGAGCGUUGUCCGGAUUUAUUGGGCGUAAAGCGAGCGCAGGCGGUUUGAUAAGUCUGAAGUUAAAGGCUGUGGCUCAACCAUAGUUCGCUUUGGAAACUGUCAAACUUGAGUGCAGAAGGGGAGAGUGGAAUUCCAUGUGUAGCGGUGAAAUGCGUAGAUAUAUGGAGGAACACCGGUGGCGAAAGCGGCUCUCUGGUCUGUAACUGACGCUGAGGCUCGAAAGCGUGGGGAGCGAACAGGAUUAGAUACCCUGGUAGUCCACGCCGUAAACGAUGAGUGCUAGGUGUUGGAUCCUUUCCGGGAUUCAGUGCCGCAGCUAACGCAUUAAGCACUCCGCCUGGGGAGUACGACCGCAAGGUUGAAACUCAAAGGAAUUGACGGGGGCCCGCACAAGCGGUGGAGCAUGUGGUUUAAUUCGAAGCAACGCGAAGAACCUUACCAGGUCUUGACAUCCCGAUGCUAUUUCUAGAGAUAGAAAGUUACUUCGGUACAUCGGUGACAGGUGGUGCAUGGUUGUCGUCAGCUCGUGUCGUGAGAUGUUGGGUUAAGUCCCGCAACGAGCGCAACCCCUAUUGUUAGUUGCCAUCAUUCAGUUGGGCACUCUAGCGAGACUGCCGGUAAUAAACCGGAGGAAGGUGGGGAUGACGUCAAAUCAUCAUGCCCCUUAUGACCUGGGCUACACACGUGCUACAAUGGUUGGUACAACGAGUUGCGAGUCGGUGACGGCGAGCUAAUCUCUUAAAGCCAAUCUCAGUUCGGAUUGUAGGCUGCAACUCGCCUACAUGAAGUCGGAAUCGCUAGUAAUCGCGGAUCAGCACGCCGCGGUGAAUACGUUCCCGGGCCUUGUACACACCGCCCGUCACACCACGAGAGUUUGUAACACCCGAAGUCGGUGAGGUAACCUUUUGGAGCCAGCCGCCUAAGUGACAGA
rnacentral:rRNA from 1 species